AAUCAGUCAAAUGAGGUUAUGUAUUCGCUGAUUCAGUAAAUUAGGUUUCUAAAAAUCCUCCGGAAUGAAAUUUUCACUCAUGUAGUAUGAAAAUUUCAAAGUGAAUAUGAAAUGAAAAAAAAAUGUGCAAAAGUGAAUAAUACUGAUUUAUUAAGCUAAUAUUUGUCUUAGAAGUGAGUUAAAAGAAGGAAUUCAGUGAAAAACACUGGAAAAUUCGAGAUUUAAAUCUAAUAAUUGAAUGAUUUUGUGAUAUGGUUUGUGGAAAUUAAUUGUUCCGGAAGUGUUCAUACAUCCCACACAGAAUCUCCAGGAAGUUCCUUGUGGUUGAUUCCUGGGAAAGCCGGAGUAGAAUGUUUUCAAAGAGGAGAUGACAAAAGCUCAUGUGAGCUAUAUGUACAGGACCUACAGAACAUAUAAGUCUACUGAGAAGCUCACAAACAACAUAGGAACCCAAUCCUUCAGGAGCUUUCUUCCUCAGACGCUUUGGUUGUGGUCAAAUUCCCUGAGAGGGAAGAACAUUCAAAACAAAUCGAUUGAUGAUGCUGCAGUUUGUCCAGGAGAGAUGCAAUUAUCCGGAACCACGGGCGAUUCCAACACGGCAUUCAAGAACUUCCUGCAUAGAAGUGUUUUCUUUGAGUGAAGUGAACUUUGAGUGCUUCAUUACCUUCAGCAGAACCUUUUCUUGGACUCAGUCUUACGAGAUAGGGCUGCUGUGGACUCCAAUCCGGAGGAAAAACGCAUCAUUGAACGUCUCGUCAUAUCGUCAAAGAAAAAAACAAAUACUGACAACCCAUUCACAAUUCUUCCUAUAUGCUUCCUAUUUUGAGCGGACACGUCAUAGGACAUUCUCAACAAGUGUCACGUGCUUCAUCGUGACACCUCCAUUGACCUUCGUAAAUUAUGUAUUUAUGAACAAUCUUGUGAAAAUGUUAAAAUAUGCAAAAAAAAAAACUACAAAAUGGCCAACAAAUAAACAAAAAAAUGUUACAAUUAAAGAAGAAUAUUUAUUUUUACAACAAAAUUCCAAAAAAAAACCAAAGAAAGUUGUAUGAAAAAAUCCUGGAUUUCUUCAAUGAAUGUAUUAUAAAGGUCUUAUAGAAAGCGAAGAUUUUUCUGAAAAAUCUCUGUCUUCCUCAAAGAAUGUAAUACUACUCUUUCAUUACAAAAUGUCUUAGAAAGGAAAGUUGUUUUAAUAAAAAAUUUUUUUUU